CCUACGGAUGGCAGCAGUGAGGAAUAUUGGUCAAUGGGCGCGAGCCUGAACCAGCCAAGUAGCGUGAAGGAUGACUGCCCUACGGGUUGUAAACUUCUUUUAUAACGGAAUAAAGUGAGGCACGUGUGCCUUUUUGUAUGUACUUUAUGAAUAAAGAUCGGCUAACUCCGUGCCAGCAGCCGCGGUAAUACGGAGGAUCCGAGCGUUAUCCGGAUUUAUUGGGUUUAAAGGGAGCGUAGAUGGGUUGUUAAGUCAGUUGUGAAAGUUUGCGGCUCAACCGUAAAAUUGCAAUUGAUACUGGCAGCCUUGAGUACAGUUGAGGUAGGCGGAAUUCGUGGUGUAGCGGUGAAAUGCUUAGAUAUCACGAAGAACUCCGAUUGCGAAGGCAGCGUACUGG
rnacentral:rRNA from 1 species